UGCUGGGUCCCAGGUGUCAGUCCCCACUGCUCGGCCCCUCCCCGAAAUUCUCCACUCUGAGGUCUGGGAGGCAGGCACUAGACAGCCAUGGCCUCGCCGGCGGUGGCGACGCGGCGCACGUCCCCCACGUUCCUGGCCUCCGGCCCUCGCCACCGUCUCCGUCGUCACGAGUACUCACCUUCCAAGUUGGGUUCCCCAAGCUUGGCCUCACGGUUAAAAGUCACUGCACUUUUUGGGUGGAUUAAGGGAGAUAAACUGGCGAGGACUCGCGAAUUGAUCCCCUCUGCUGAAUCGUACACUCUCACAGGGUCAGACUCAGAGGUGGACAUGAAGCCACACGAGGUAUCAAUUUCUGUUGUCUCUUCUAUCAUGGACAUACCUCCAGCAGAGUGGGAUGCCUGUGCAGUUGACUCAGCUGAGCCUGAAAAGCUAAAUCCUUUCCUUACCCAUGCAUUUCUCUCAAGCUUAGAAGAAUCAGGUUCUGCAGUGAAGGAAACGGGGUGGCUACCUCUGCAUAUUGUUGCACGGGACGGGAAUGAAGAUAUUGUGGGUGUUGUUCCGCUUUACCUUAAAAGCCAUUCUAGGGGCGAGUUCGUAUUUGAUCAGUCAUGGGCAGAAGCUUACUACAGUUAUGGACUUGAAUAUUAUCCAAAGUUGCAGUCUUGUGUGCCUUUUACUCCAGUAACUGGUCAAAGAAUAUUACUUCGAGAUACAUCCUACCGGGAUCAAGUUUUUGAUGCUUUAGUAAAAGCUUUGAAGAAUUUGGCUACCAAGCUGAACGCGUCAUCACUGCAUAUAACUUUCCCAUCAGAAGGUGAAUUCAGCAAGUUGAAGGAUAGGGGGUUGUUGCAAAGAAUUGGGUUGCAAUACCAUUGGAGAAACCGGAACUACAAAAGUUUUGACGAUUUUUUAAUGGAUUUGAAGCAGCCCAAACGGAAGAAUAUCAGACAAGAACGCAAAAAGAUUCCUGCUCAGAACUUAAAAAUGAAGCGGCUCCGCGGAGAUGAAAUAAAGAGCAGCCACUGGGACACCUUCUAUAAAUUCUACCGCAACACAACUGAUAAUCACUGGGGCAGAGCGUACUUGACACGGGAGUUCUUUCACCUUUUGGGAGAAAAGAUGGGUGACAAGGUAAUGCUUAUUGUUGCUGAACAUGAUGAUAAACUAGUCGCUGGAGCUCUUAAUCUUAUUGGAGGCGAUACAUUAUAUGGCCGCUUAUGGGGAUGCCUACCAGAUGUUCAUUUCCCCAAUUUGCAUUUUGAAGCUUGCUAUUACCAGGCAAUUGAAGCAGCAAUAGAACUAAACCUGAGUAAGGUGGAAGCAGGUGCUCAGGGAGAGCACAAGAUCCAGCGUGGUUACCUCCCAGUGACCACAUACAGCUGCCACUACUUCUUAGAACCUGGUUUUGCGACAGCUAUAGGAAAUUUUCUUGUACAUGAGACAGCUCAGGUUAAGCAUGUCAUCAAUGUCCUGCGCGAUUCAGGUCCAUAUAAGGAAGACAUAAUGAAGGAAUUUGCAGCUCAACUAGAUGAUGAAAUGUAGAACAGUGAAGUGCAGCUAUGCAUAUGACUGUACUGCACGAAUGAAGUAGCAAUAGGAAUACGGGUGAUCCCUUGCCCCAGGAGGCCAUAUUGUGAUAUCGAAGACUCGGAUCCCCACCUUUGUACAUUAUUACUAGGCUUGUUAAGCAUGUCAUCAAUGUCCUGCGCGAUUCAGGUCCAUACAAGGAAGACAUAAUGAAGGAAUUUGCAGCUCAACAAGAUGAUGAAAUGUAGGACAGUGAAGUGCAGCUAUGCAUAUGACUAUACUGUACGAAUGAAGUAGCAAUAGG